rnacentral:rRNA from 1 species
UAGGGAAUCUUCGGCAAUGGGGGGAACCCUGACCGAGCAACGCCGCGUGAGUGAAGAAGGUUUUCGGAUCGUAAAGCUCUGUUGUUAAGGAAGAACGAGUGUGAGAAUGGAAAGUUCAUGCUGUGACGGUACUUAACCAGAAAGGGACGGCUAACUACGUGCCAGCAGCCGCGGUAAUACGUAGGUCCCGAGCGUUGUCCGGAUUUAUUGGGCGUAAAGCGAGCGCAGGCGGUUAGAAAAGUCUGAAGUGAAAGGCAGUGGCUCAACCAUUGUAGGCUUUGGAUACUGUUUAACUUGAGUGCAGAAGGGGAGAGUGGAAUUCCAUGUGUAGCGGUGAAAUGCGUAGAUAUAUGGAGGAACACCGGUGGCGGAAGCGGCUCUCUGGUCUGUAACUGACGCUGAGGCUCGAAAGCGUGGGGAGCGAACAGG